GUGGGGAAUAUUGGACAAUGGGGGGAACCCUGAUCCAGCCAUGCCGCGUGUGUGAAGAAGGCCUUUUGGUUGUAAAGCACUUUAAGUGGGGAGGAGGCUUACCUGGUUAAUACCUGGGCUAAGUGGACGUUACCCACAGAAUAAGCACCGGCUAACUCUGUGCCAGCAGCCGCGGUAAUACAGAGGGUGCGAGCGUUAAUCGGAUUUACUGGGCGUAAAGCGCGCGUAGGUGGUUAAUUAAGUCAAAUGUGAAAUCCCCGAGCUUAACUUGGGAAUUGCAUUCGAUACUGGUUGGCUAGAGUAUGGGAGAGGAUGGUAGAAUUCCAGGUGUAGCGGUGAAAUGCGUAGAGAUCUGGAGGAAUACCGAUGGCGAAGGCAGCCAUCUGGCCUAAUACUGACACUGAGGUGCGAAAGCAUGGGGAGCAAACAGGAUUAGAAACCCGGGUAGUCC
rnacentral:rRNA from 1 species